CCUACGGGUGGCAGCAGUAGGGAAUAUUGCUCAAUGGGGGAAACCCUGAAGCAGCAACGCCGCGUGGAGGAUGAAGGCCCUACGGGUCGUAAACCGCUUUUGCACGGGGAUAACACCCUCCACUUGUGGAGGUCUGCAGGUACCGUGCGAAUAAGGGCCGGCUAAUUCCGUGCCAGCAGCCGCGGUAAUACGGAGGGCCCGAGCGUUAUCCGGAUUCAUUGGGCUUAAAGGGAGCGUAGGCGGGCGUUCAAGUCAGCUGUACAAUCGCGCGGCUCAACCGCGCCCCGCAGUUGAAACUGGACGCCUUGAGUUCACAACAGGCAGGCGGAAUUCGUGGUGUAGCGGUGAAAUGCAUAGAUAUCACGAGGAACCCCGAUUGCGAAGGCAGCCUGCCGGGGUGCGACUGACGCUGAGGCUCGAAGGUGCGGGUAUCAAACAGGAUUAGAUACCCGAGUAGUC
rnacentral:rRNA from 1 species